rnacentral:ncRNA from 18 species
GUACCAAAUAAUCAAUGCUCUGUAAUCAUUUAAAAGUAUUUUGACCGGACCUCUGUUUGACACGUCUGAAUAACUAAAAGUAAAAAUUUGCCACUCAAGUGGCUUUUUUU